rnacentral:rRNA from 1 species
AACGAACGCUGGCGGCAUGCCUAACACAUGCAAGUCGAACGGGAUCCUGGUUUCGGCCAGGUGAGAGUGGCGGACGGGUGAGUAACGCGUGGGAACCUGCCCAGUGGUGGGGGAUAACUGCGGGAAACUGCAGCUAAUACCGCAUGAGCCCGAAAGGGGAAAGAUUGAUCGCCAUUGGAGGGGCCCGCGUUCGAUUAGGUAGUUGGUGAGGUAACGGCUCACCAAGCCUUCGAUCGANAGCUGGUCUGAGAGGAUGAUCAGCCACACUGGGACUGAGAUACGGCCCAGACUCCUACGGGAGGCAGCAGUGGGGAAUAUUGCGCAAUGGGCGAAAGCCUGACGCAGCGACGCCGCGUGGGGAUGAAGGUCUUCGGAUUGUAACCCUUUCGGGAGGGAAGAUGGAAUGGGGUAACCCAUUCGGACGGUACCUCCAGAAGCAGCCACGGCUAACUUCGUGCCAGCAGCCG